AGAGAGGAUACAAAACCAGAGUCUAUGUGUAUAUAGCGUAUAUAGAGUCGCGCAAAGAGAAAAUCUGUCGUUUCGGCAACAAGGUUUUUGUGCCGUUUGUUGCCAAGAACUAUACAGUUCUGUUUUUCACCAUGCAUACUGCCCAUAAACGCAUAAGAGUCACACUGCCAAAAACGUACAACUGAGUAAAACGCAGUAGACGCAGGUAAACCAUAGCAUUUUUUCCUUCCUAUGGAUUCAAUCAAAGAAACAAAAAUUUAAAAUAAGCAUUCAUCCGAGCAACAAACCUAACUUUUGUUGUAAAUUUUCGAGAGCACACGUAAUGUAAAGAAGUUUCUAAGAUUUAUCUCAAAAGUGAUGAAAAUUCACAUGGGACUGUUAUGCAUUUAUGGGCAGCAUAAGCGAAUAUCAAUUUUUGGAAUUCUUCACAAGGUACACUGUUUUGAUAGAUUACACCGGUGAUGUUUUGUUAAAUUUAAGUGAACCAGUGUACAGGUUUAAUGUUGGAUUAAAAUGUACGGUGUUAUGAACAGAUCAAGGGAUUGGUAUGGUAGCCUUCAAGCGUAUCGAACAUCUAUUUCUGUACCGUUCAUCACAAAACUUCGUUUUAUGCCGUCACAAUUUGCUUCUAUAUGUUUUGGGGCACAAUUAUUGUACAAAAUAUCACUUAGAAUAUCAAAUUACAUACAAAAAUCUUGAGAAACUGCUCAAAAUUAUCCGAUAAGCUGUCAAUAACUGCAGUCAACAUUUGGUCGGUUUGCCCGAAUCAACUAGCAAUGGGCAAGAUCGAUCCGAUUUUUGCAAAAUCGAUCUUUUCGGGUCGAUUCAUCGAUUUUUUGAAUCGAUUUCUCUGCGCGCGAUCUUCUGCUGAAUCGAUCCUUAGGAUGGCAAGAUCGUUUUUUUUCGCCUGAAAAAUAAAUGUGUGCAAAACGGAUUGAAGACAAUAGUGAUUGCAUUUAUUGUUGCUAACGUAAUCUGCGGCCGAAUUCCGAGAACACUUUUCUUUGAAGAGAAGAAAAUUUCUUUAUUGAUAGUAUACGAAAUUUUUUUCUCUCCGAAGAAGUGUGUGCUCGGAAUUCGGACACUGAUCUGAAAAAUGUGUCAAUUUUUUACCGGGAUGUCCAUAGUUGAAGAAUGGGCUAAAAUUCAAUAGACAUGAAACCGAGAAAAACGCAUUUGAAAUGUUUUUGUUGGUUCAAACAAUUGUCUACGUCCAUGACAACUUUUUUCAUGAGUAUGUCACCACCCCCAUAUCCAGCAUAUCCAGCUUUUCACAAACGGUAAUGGCGUAUAGUGCACGCAGCCCAUUUUGACGUUUUCUGUAGGUCAGGGAAGCUGGAUAACCUUGUCGUCGAGUUGAAAAAGAACAAUCCGCAGCCAAAUUAAGUCCCUCCAGUAUUUUUAACGCAGUAACCAUUUUUUGCCUUUGUAAACGCGACAUCAAUAGACAAACCCGUAUGAAAUUUGGCUAAUACGUAUGCGUUGUGAAAUAUAUCAAGGAUUAGGGGUGGGUGAAACGGCUCUUUUGCAAGAGCGGCUCUAAACCGACUCAUGGUUCACAAUGAUUCACGAGCCUUGACAGUUCGUGUUGUCUCAGUAAACUUUGUCGAUUGGUGAUUGGUGUACAUUGGGGUGGCAAUGGAAAUUGACUUUGACAGUUUUAUUUAGAAGUAGUGUUCAAAAUUUCGCCUUCACGAACAGUUAGCAAAAUUUCGAUUUUUGGAUAACACCCGACCUCGACGUUUUAUACAAUUAUAAUAACCAGUAAUAUCGCCCAUCUUGAUUUCAAAUCCCAUACUCCAAAUUUUCCGUGGAAACUAGAUGUAUGUAUGUUUCAA